AAUGAUAAUUGCUCCGUCUCUAAGCAGUUUGAAUCUAUAAAUAGAAUAACAAAAGGAAGGAAACGAAAUUUUAAACUGAUUUCCGCCAUUAAAAAAAUAACAUGAAACCUACAGUUCACGACACAUCGCAUAGGAAUUUAAAAUAAAUAUUAGGCCUAUAGGUUUAAUACAUAUUGCUUAGAAUAUAGAAAUUUAGAUCUAGUGUUCUGGUUAGUAGUUAUUUCAUGUUUAUUAGAAUAUAGUCUAGAAUCUAAUCAUACGGCUGCAUAAAAAGAAAGUUUGAAGGAAAUAGAAUAGGAAUCUAGAGAAGCGGAGUGUUUUCCGCACUCGAGAGGAAAGAGGUUGCAGGGAACUUAGAGACUAAUCUUUGCCAACAUACUCGAUUUCUGGUGAUGACAAUAGCAGCAGAUAGUAUGCGGCUCAGUUAAUACUAAAAACAAUUGAUUUUAGUAAUUAGUGGACUAUGAGUGUGUGUUUGGCCAUCCAGAUUUCAUAACUACAACUGAUGUUCAAUUACAAGGGAUAUUAAUCAGUCUCCGUGGACUAUACACUGUGCCUAGUUUCAUCCUCAGAGACUGAUGUGUAAGCUUAAAGUAAAGACAUCAAAUCAAAGUAUCAGCCAUCAAGAGGAAAAACAUUCAAAAUCAUAUUGUGAUACACAAGUCAAGCUAGUCUGACCAGCAUUUUGAUACAGGCCAAGAAAAAGCUGGAUACUUGAUUGGAAGGGUCGCACAAAAAACAUGGGUUAUCACUAGGGAAACAAGCUCGCAAUACAGUUCACUGUUAGGACAGCAAGCCAAAUACUUCUAAACUUAUUUGAAUCAUUUUUGCUGUUUAUUAUAAUUCAUCCAAUUGUCUUAUUAAAUAUAUACAUUUAUAUAUAUACACAAUUCCUAAUAUAGAAUUUCUAAAAAUGUUUUAUUAUAAUAUUUAAAAUGAAACAAACAUGUUCCCAGAACACAGCCACAUAAUGUCAACAUGUUCCCAGAACACAGCCACAUAAUGUCAACAUGUUCCCAGAACACAGCCACAUAAUGUCAACAUGUUCCCAGAACACAGCCACAUAA